rnacentral:rRNA from 1 species
GUAGGUGGCAAGCGUUGUCCGGAAUUAUUGGGCGUAAAGCGCGCGCAGGCGGUUCUUUAAGUCUGAUGUGAAAGCCCACGGGCUCAACCGUGGAGGGUCAUUGGAAACUGGAGAACUUGAGUACAGAAGAGGAAAGCGGAAUUCCACGUGUAGCGGUGAGAUGCGUAGAGAUGUGGAGGAACACCAGUGGCGAAGGCGGCUUUCUGGUCUGUAACUGACGCUGAGGCGCGAAAGCGUGGGGAGCAAACAGGAUUAGAUACCCUGGUAGUCCAGGCCGUAAACGAUGAGUGCUAAGUGUUAGGGGGGUUUCCGCCCCUUAGUGCUGCAGCUAACGCAUUAAGCACUCCGCCUGGGGAGUACGGCCGCAAGGCUG